UACAGAGGGUGCGAGCGUUGUUCGGAAUCACUGGGCGUAAAGAGUGUGUAGGCGGUGCUCUAAGUUCGGUGUGAAAUCUCCCGGCUCAACUGGGAGGGUGCGCCGGAAACUGGAGUGCUGGAGCGCGGGAGAGGAAAGCGGAAUUCCUGGUGUAGCGGUGAAAUGCGUAGAUAUCAGGAGGAACACCGGCGGUGUAGACGGCUUUCUGGACCGUAGCUGACGCUGAGACACGAAAGCGUGGGUAGCAAACAGG
rnacentral:rRNA from 1 species